GACGAACGCUGGCGGCGUGCUUAACACAUGCAAGUCGAACGGAAAGGCCCUGCUUUUGUGGGGUGCUCGAGUGGCGAACGGGUGAGUAACACGUGAGUAACCUGCCCUUGACUUUGGGAUAACUUCAGGAAACUGGGGCUAAUACCUGAUAGGUGCUCCUGCUGCAUGGUGGGGGUUGGAAAGUUUCGGCGGUUGGGGAUGGACUCGCGGCUUAUCAGCUUGUUGGUGGGGUAGUGGCUUACCAAGGCUUUGACGGGUAGCCGGCCUGUGAGGGUGACCGGCCACAUUGGGACUGCGAUACGGCCCAGACUCCUACGGGAGGCAGCAGUGGGGAAUAUUGCACAAUGGGCGGAAGCCUGAUGCAGCAACGCCGCGUGCGGGAUGACGGCCUUCGGGUUGUAAACCGCUUUCGCCUGUGACGAAGCGUGAGUGACGGUAAUGGGUAAAGAAGCACCGGCUAACUACGUG
rnacentral:rRNA from 1 species